UGUAAAUUUGCUGGCCGAGCGUAUCUUGGGAUUUACGAUACGACGUUAUUACGGAUAUCUUGGCGAUGGCCGAGCUCGAUAAUACAUACAUACAUACAUUUGUGUGUGUAUGUCUCUCUCUCUCUCUCUCUCUCUCUCUCUAUCUCUUUCUAUGUUUGUAUGUCUCUGCGCAUGUAUCAAAAGGUAUUUUAAAGGUUUUAGUUGGCUCACGCGUCAUCAACUUUGAGAGGACAAGAUUUUUUCUUUAAUAUUCUUUUUCGUUUUUUUUUCUUUCUUUUUUUUUUGCUUUUUUCUCUCGGUAAAAGUAUCCCGUUAAAGUAUCAGAUAUAAAAUAUUUCUAAGUAAGAUGUACAUAUGUACGUAUGUAUUAAUUUUAUAACGUCACGCAAUAACUACGGAUUUCGGAGAUAUACAUUAUUCGUGUAUUUCGCGCUUAUUUAUACACUCCGUUACCCGAGUCAUGUUCUUUUUCUCUUUGUUUAUAUACAAUUACACAUAGAGAUAUGUUAUAAAUUUCGAGGUCCUUGAAACGUAACAUCAUAGGUCACGUUAUAUCUCAGUCUCAUUUCGAACGUCUUAGAAACAAGUCGAUCUUACAGUGUAAAACCGUCGCUACUCGUCAAAAUUAAUUCCGAUUUAAUCACGUAUAUGGAAUUAUUGAGUUCCAAUGGCUAUUCAUAGUUUAUUCAAAUAUCUUUGAUUUCUUUUUUUGAUUGAUUCAAUUGAUAGAGUUAACGUUAAUGUGUUAUUAUGUUUUAUUUGAAUAAUUAACCGAGAUACCGACAAAGGGGAGAGAUCGAAUUCUCGAGAAGAUAAACACGUCCGUUCGUGGCGGAAAGAAGAAAGAAGCCGUAUGGUGGUCUUCCCUUCGAGAUGCUUACGAGGUGCAGUGCAUCCCGCAUGCAUCGUACGUGCAGGCAUAGAAAAGAAAAAAAGAAGAAAGAAAUAGAGAACGAGAAAGAGAGAGAGAAAGAGACAGUCACAAGUAACCGCCAGGAGGACUUUCGUAUAAAUCAAAGCUUCGUUUUGCGGCGAGGUGUUGUACGACGAGCAUAGGUAGGCAUAAUAUCUUACGUCGAGGUCAAGGCGAAUGCGUCACGCUCGUUUACGGAUUACAAGCGCGUGGAUAUUAAGUACCAUUCGUGUAUUAAAGGUGAAUAUCAAAAAUAAUAUCUUUUAUCUUAAAAAUCAUUUUUAUAUAAGAUAGGAACGAGCUAACAACGUUAUGAAUUUAAUCUUUAUCGUCGUUAAGUUUCUAUCAUCCUUUUGAAAAAGCUUUAUAAGCGCUGUCGAUCUUUCGAAAUAAUAGAUGAUUUUUAAAUUGAUCGAUUCAUAGAUCUUUUUAACAAGCAAAAAAAUAUACUCCUUGCAUACUGUGAAAGGGUACCAAAAACGAACGAUACAAUUAUAACGUGUGUAUAAAUAAAUUAAUAAAUUUACGAAGAGCGAUGCGGAUCUGUUCUCUCGACGAGCAUAUACUAAACGGUGCAAAUAAAAACGCAGGUAGAGGGAGAGAGAGAGAGAGCGAGAGAGAAAAAGCGAGGAUCCACCGAAAUACAUAUUAUGAUUCUUUCUUCGAGAGAACGUCGAGAGGAUGAGAUGCGAGAAGCAUCGAUCGAAUCGACGUUUCGUUUCGAUGCUCGAAGGAACGAACGAUCGAGUGAGCUGAUAACCGAUGAGAAAAUCGAAGGAGCAAAAGCGCAAUGAUCGAUCGUGACGAAAUAAUGACCGACGCAAUGGCGAGUAGCAGGCGGAUCGGAUGCUCCCGGAUUGGACGGAUCUCUUUUUCGCGCAGAACGUUCGAUGCAAAGAGAGAAGAAGGUGAGGCAGCGGUCGGCAGCGGAUUGGCCGGUUAGGUCGACGAGCCAACGGAGCGACUUUUCCGAUUAGAAAUCAACGCCGCACUGGAUGCCCCUCUACUUAGGAGGAGCCUGUCAAAUUCUAGUCGAGGACAACGACCCCUCGGUCACCUGGAAGAGGACCCACUUCACCAAGAAACUCGUCAAUUUUUCGCCUAUCGAUCGUGGAAACUCUCCUUCGAGGUGGCCAAGGGGAAUCAUCACGCGAACAGCGACGUGCCUCUACACUUCGACACGCGAUCCCAUAAGGAUUCAAGACUUACUCCCACGAUGCGUUGUGCGGCACGUCUCUUACUACCAACCUACACGCAGCUCUCUUACACAUUCAUGUCAGCCAGCUAGCCAGCCAGCCAGCCCACCUGCUCUCCAAGACCCACGCCUUGAAUAGCGCCGCCGCGAGGGAUUCACCGAACGUGACUUCAAUUUUCGAUUAUGGUUUAAGCGAAAGUUUUUGGUUAACCCAAACUCAUACUCGAGAAUCACGGACAACUUUCCAUAAUGGUGACGCUUUUUUUCGUCGGUCGGUCAAUUGAUCCAUUGGUACAAUGGUCCAUUGAUCCAUUAGCCCUUUUAGAUUUAUAAGUCUUCCGGGAAUUCGUUUGAACGAGACCCGACACCUACCUACCUACCUACCUAACUACCUAACUACCUAUCUACCUACCUACCUCAACCACCACUAUCGGUUAGUCGCCAGACAAUGGCUCCUAUCUCGAACGCUUGCAUGAACGCGCACGCUUAUAGAUCGCACCAAUUAUAUGCGCCGUCGUAAACUGCCGUGCGAUGACUCAAUUUGUUCCGCAUAUUAUCCCGCAGAUAGAGGCGCCGUUACUUUACAUAAUUUCCAUCUAACAAUCGCAAGCCUCGUGUAUAAUUAUAGGUGUGUUUCCUCGUUUAAAUGUUUAUCACGUCGAACGGAAGCGAGAUUGCUUCUAUUUCGUAUAUGAUAACUAUUGAUACACAUGAAAUCUUACCUUAUGUACCUCGUGUACAUUUAUAUCGAUAUAUACGUGUAAUAACAUUGCGGCGAGUAUACAUGCGACAUAAUAUAUAAGAUUGCAAAGACGAAACAAAUUCAGAUUCCGAAGCGUCCUGUACCUGUAACAUUACAUUCUUCGUUUUUUUUUCUUUUUUUUUUUUUUUGUAGAUUUUCAAUUUAAAAUAAUGCGAGACAUUUAUGACCUCUUUGUAUUACUUAAUGUGUCACAAAGCCGACCUCUCUCUUUCUUUCAUUAACUUUUAUAAGCAAAAGUGUUUUUUGCCGCGACUAAAAACCGAACGACUUAAGAAGGUGGAACGUAGUAAUAUAUGUACGCAUGCAGCCUUCGUUUUAUUUUAUAUUACUUUUACUUUGUUAUUUAUCUACAUAUAUAUCUUAAACUUUUAAUUUUUAAAACAUUACGAAGUUUGGAAAUUGUUUCUUUAUUUAUGGUUAUUUUUUUUCUUCUUCGUUGAUAGGGGAAAAAGGAGGAACGAUGAUCAUCGUUCGCGGUCGAUUUGAUGAUGAUUUUGGUUUCAAGACCAUACAAAUAGAAUUUAAUUUCCAAAUUAUUCCGACGUUGGCUGGAUGUUUUUCUCUUGAAAGGGGUAAUUGACACGUCUCAACUUUUGCGAGAUAACGUUUAUGGAAUUUUACUUGGUGUAAUCGACGAUCAUCCACAAACGUCGAGUGUUAUGACAGCGGCUACAUACGUUGGGAAAUAUUCUUGGAAUCCGUUGAGUGCUCGAGUACGACAUUAGUCUACAACUAACGUUGGAUUUUGUUUAUAGAAGGUGUCAAAUUAUUGCACUUGUUUAUUACCAGAGUAUUAAGCCGAUGACGAAUAUCUUUCAUUCCAUUGAUCAUAGCGUCAUUUUUCUUUACUUAACAUUCCUUGAAAAUUGACUGAUAAUAUUUCAUUACCGGUAAUUGUAUUAUAUCGAAAGAGAUGUAAUCGAUAAAAUGUAUUCCUACGAAAAAAAAAAAAAAGAAAAAAAUAAGUACCUACAAAAAAAAUAUACAUUAUUACGAAAGAGUAUCGGUCGAAUGAUAGAUAAGUUUGAUUUUACUAACGAGACGAUUGAUCUAUA